AAAAAAAAAAAAAAAAAAACAAUUCAAUUAUUUUUGCAGAAAUUGUUUGGAAUUUUAUGUUUCCCAAGAACAAAAAGAUCGAAAAACAUUUUAAAAAAAUGGAUGUUCCUAUCUUUCGAAAUGGAGUAAACCAACCCAACAGAAACAUUAUGGUUCCAUGUACUAACUUGUCCAAUGAACUAUGUCGCUUGAAUUAAUUACAUCAUGAUAACAAAGGGUCCUAUCAUCGAAAGACAAUACACAACGUGUUGUCCUCAUCAAAUGAUUACAACAAAUCAUCAACCUAAUCAAUAAGUACGUACACCACCGUAUCCAUCAACAUUAAUAAUUCCCACCAGCAGCAGAAAUUCAAUUCAAGUUCUGAUGAAUGAAGAGCGCCUCAAAAUGACUUUCUACACAUGCCCCCCAAUCAGGAUGAUGAUAUGUUUCAUGGAACGACGAUGCUUACGAGCUUACGACGGCUACAGCAACAGCAUUAGACACUACGGAUGAUACCGUAAACGAUGUCAUCCUUAUCGCCGUACGAAGUAAAGAAUCUGUUGCAAUGUAUCGACUGUGGCCAGGUGCAUAACUUCCUCGCCAAUCUCCUCGAGAGCCAAUCACCAAAUGUUUUGAACAGCAGAUAAUUCAAGUGAUAUCGGCGAUCAAUGAGGCUCUUGGAUCACCACUAGCAAGUGAACCUAUUAAGCAGGGGCAAUUCAAAUUAGGCACAAUUGUUCCAUCACAACAACAGCAACUUCUUUAACUUCAACUCUCACACUCACAUAGUAAUGAAGUUUAUGGUUCAGCUUGGGAACAAUAAUAAUAAUAAUAAU